rnacentral:rRNA from 1 species
GACGAGCGCUGGCGGUGUGCUUAACACAUGCAAGUCGAACGGUAAGGCCCUUUCGGGGGUACACGAGUGGCGAACGGGUGAGUAACACGUGAGUAACCUGCCCUCAUCUCUGGGAUAACAGUCGGAAACGGUUGCUAAUACUGGAUAUGAGCUUGCAAGGCAUCUUGUGGGUUGGAAAGAUUUUUUUUGGUUGGGGAUGGACUCGCGGCCUAUCAGCUUGUUGGUGAGGUAGUGGCUCACCAAGGCUUCGACGGGUAGCCGGCCUGAGAGGGCGACCGGCCACAUUGGGACUGAGAUACGGCCCAAACUCCUACGGGAGGCAGCAGUGGGGAAUAUUGCACAAUGGACGGAAGUCUGAUGCAGCAACGCCGCGUGCGGGAUGACGGCCUUCGGGUUGUAAACCGCUUUCAAUUGUGACGAAGCUUUUUUGUGACGGUAGCAGUAGAAGAAGCACCGGCUAACUACGUG